CCCGCUCCGGCUUCGGCUCCAGCUCCAGCUCCUGAGGCUAAUCAUUAGUCUCAUCAAAUUGGCAAUGAGAAGAAACCAAAAACGCCACCUCUACACUGUGAUGCCUAUAUAAAUUUUCUAGAAUGGUUGGAUACCAUCCAUCAUUUUUGUAAACAUUAGCUAUUGUAAUAUGAUAACUAGAUUCAACUUAAAAGGGCUGCAUUUUCCCUGAAUUGAAAUUUUAUAUGAUUUGCUUAGAUUCUGUGGUAGAAUUCUGAUUGAUGUCUUCAGUGAUUUGAUGUUGAUUACAAGGACGAGAAUGUAUUUUUUUGCCAAAAAAUACAUUCUCGUCCUUGUAAUCAACAUCUGACGGUACUCAAUGUCUAAUGCCUUCUAACUUGAGUUUCUGGACCACUGAGUCUGUAUGUGAUGAAUCAUCUUAUGAAAGCCAUGUUUUACGCAUACUCGG
rnacentral:misc_RNA from 1 species